ACACCCUGUGCUAGAAAACUGGCUGAGAAACUGCACUAUGAACUUUGUUUCUAACAAUUCUGCUGCUGCGCUUUGACUGAUGUUCCACCAACAAAUCAGAUCAUAGUUUGUACUUCUAAUUGCAGCCACUGUAACAGUAUCUUUACGCAGUCUUUCCAUUCCAUCUCAAGAGUGUCCUCCUAGCCUCGCCUUUUUCCUAUUUAAUAUCUCCUGCACAACCUCUUCAGAAAUAAUUGGUAGUUUGAAAUGAGCUGAACUUAUGCUGCAAGGGGAGAUUCUGGAGCACAGAUAUCGUGGGUGGGAUUUCCACGCCCAGUCUGUGGAGACAGCACAUAACCUGGCGGUCAACAAUCAUAGAAUCACCAAGGUUGGAAACCUCCAAGAUCAAGCAGCCCAACCUUCACACUCCACCAAUACUUCCCCGCUAAACCACCUCCCUCAGUACAACAACGUCUGCCGUUGGAGUUACAGCUCCCGGCUUCGGGGAGCCCAGCAGAAACUCUUUUGUUCCUGUCUUCCGGGCCUUGCAAUUUUAAAUCAGCAGAGAGAAGAGGAAGCAGGGAGACUCCAGCUCGUAUCUUACCUUUGCAGGAUGCAACUGAACCACUCCCUAACCUCCUGCAUCAAGCUGAAAAAGUUUGCUCCCAGGCCAAGUCUUCAGCCAGAAAAUAUUCCUGGACCUUCCCAUUCAAAAGCAAACAGCUUCUGGCUCUGUCUAAAGGAAUGCCUUCAAAUGUAAAACUGACCACUAACUGUUGCUAAUUGCCUGCUGCUGCUUUCAGACAACACAUUCCUUACCAGUCUCAGACGCUUUUUUUUCCUCACUAACCAGCUGCUCCAUUUUUUUAUAAUAGAAAAAGUGACCUCAGUAGAGAUUCAACUAGAAAUUUAAACAACUAGGAUCAACUCUGCCAAGUGGACUUUAAGAAAGUUAUGCUUUUCUAAUUUUAUAAACGUAUAUUUCGUUUAAUGUCCCAAAGCAAGUACAAUUGAGGUUUUAGAAGUAUAAAGCAACAAACCAGCAGUAGUAACUAGAUAAAAGCUGGACUUGAGGAAGAAAAGUCCCACUUCUUGUUCCUAACAGAAGCAAAUGUAAUAAAUGCAAACCCUGUCCAAAGCAGCAAUGGCAGCGGCUGAUGAAAAGUGAGAGCAGGGAGAAAUCCCUUGAGACUGCAGUGUAGCAGGUACAAGUCUUUCUCACGUCUGGGGCUCAACUCAGUCACAUUUUGCACUGCUAAGAUCUGUAAAGUGAUUCACGUUCCUUCAAGAUUUAGCAAGGUUUCUCUAACUCAAACCUUUAUGGAACAUGACCUUUUUGGUACUUUCUACUUCUGCAAUAUGAGGGACAUGUUUCUUUUUACGAGUCGCUGAAACUCCUGAAAACCAAACAGCAUUUCCAUCUCAGAGUAACCAGGCUUCAGGCUUUUCUUCCAUACACCACCAGAAAUUAAAUAAAUUUAUCAAAAUACUUGACUGGAAAAACAAAACGAACAGAACAGAAAUGUAUGCUGAAACGGGUACCUUCAGUGUGUCUGUAUAAAAGAUGGACAAAGCUGGCUGAUUCCCCCACCCUGUGAGCUGAAAGCCUUCUGUGUCUCUCCCGCCUUCCGUCAGCUAAUGAACGUCAAUUGACAUAAGUGGCACAGUGACAUCCACUAAUUAGACUAUCACUUAACUCGGGAAGUGUGACAGCAUGAACAUGUUUUGGAGAACAAUCAGAAUACUGUAAAAGCAAUAUUAAAAUUCCUGGCUUUCUACAAAAUAUAUAUGUACAUUGCAUAUGUAUAUACACACAUACACAUAAGACAAAAUCAUUUCUAGUUUAAGACAGAAUUACUUUCAUUUCACAAUGAAAUUUUCAGAACUCAUCUUCAUGUUUCUCUAGUAACAGUGCUUCUUGAUGAAUACCAUGAGUGGCACAACAUUUAAGUUUCACAACUCUUGAUUUUCAUCCCCUUGAUAUCAGACAGUAUUCACUAUGGCAAUAACAUUACACAGUCACGUAAUCUCUGUAGAAGUAAAAAAUAAAAUAAAAUGAAAAUAAGUAUUUAGUAAAAAGAACUAAGUAAGAUAAAGAAUUAUUAAGAAGUUAGAGAAAUAAUAGCCCUAGACAAACUUAAGAGGAACAUGGCCAUCAUUUCCUUAAAUAGCCUCAAUAUUGUUUGUCUGCUGGUGUAUCUGCUUUUGAGAAAUUAGCAUUUGAAAUUUUCUUAUCAAGGUUUCUUUAGGGAGGUGUAAUUCAAGGCCUAUGAAAGGAACAGGAAAGUAAUCACUCACUCUUGAAAAGCGUGGGCUCACCUCUAAUCCCAUUCUUCUCCUCACUUCUGUAAAGCGUUAGUUCAAAGACAACUAUAUAGGUUUGAUUGUAUAUGUAUGUGUGUGUGUGUGUAUUUUGUAUACAGGAUAUAUACACACACACACACACACACACACACAUAUAUAUAUAUAUGUAUAUAUACAUACCACCUUCUCAGAGCCGUUAUAAAUUAUAUUACAUUACAUCAGUCUUCUUUGAAGUUUCCAUCACAUAUGAAAUAGAUGCCUUCCGGUUACAGAAUAUCCAGGCUUAGACAAGUGACGUGCUUUGUGUUAUUCAUUUAUUUGUCCUACACUCACAAUAUUUUUACGUUAUUCUUCACUGGCAGUACCACAGGACUGUCAGCAGAAACCACCACGGUAGUGCAGUUUUCUGGUGUUUGUGCUAUAAUCAAAUUAACAGAGAUUCUAGCACCUAUUGAAGCACUCAGAAUAUCCGCAAUCAGUUCUCCAAAUGAUUUAAACAAGGAGAUAGUCUUAUUUGCACAUCAGCAAUUUCCACUCCAACAGAAACAAGACUGAAGCAAAAGAAAGAAUUCUUUCCAACAAUUGCCACUGUUCAUACUCGAAGGAUGUUUAUUACAAGGAAACGUGAAGUGUGUUAGUGAAAGGAUAUAGCUAAUGUGACAUUAAAGUAAAACCAGCAUGAUGACCUACUUUUGUUUCUGCUGAAUUAAGUUACAUUUUGUCUUGCCUUGAGAGACUGAAUAUCAUUAGUUAGAGUACCAGGCAUAUUACGCGCUUACCUUCAGUGACAGAUCAAAGCAGCGAGGUAAUCCAGGGACAACAGUGUUGAGCUGUAUGACAGUUGUGCACAGUGGAGUCCUGGGAGGAGGUCACUGCCUAUACAGAAUAAGCAAACAGUGUAAGUUGCUGGGAUAAGUAUCCUUGGGAAAUAUCCUGGGAUAUUUCAGUGUAAGUGCAAUCCAAGAUGCUGAAAUCAAUACAAAUGUGAAACCCAUUUCUAAUUUGCUGUGUUAUGAGAAACGGAUGAGUAAAAACAUAGCGUCUUUUUGAAAUGGACUAUUUUACCUACUUACUUGAAUAUAUAUGUGCAUCAUCAAUACAUUGACAUCAUAAUUCAUCAAAAGGUAUCUAUGGAUACUCCAAACAUUCCUACUUCAAAAGAUUUGUAGGAUCAGAAAACUCCAACAACCUUGAUUCUGAACCUUGGAUGGCCUUGAGCCAUUCACAGCUAUGAACUUAAUCUUUGCUGAAACAAAUGUUUGUAAAGUGAAGUGGAUGUGGAUAAGAUUAUGAAAGAGCAAACCUUAUUUUGUGAUGAGCCCAGAGUUCCUGACACUGCACAGCAUGGACACCGUGGUAUUUGUUAUUCACUAACCUUUCGUGCACUUUCUAGUGUAAAGGACAUAAAAUAUCAACCAAUGUAACUUCCUUUUUUUUGUAUCUCGUAUGACUGCAUCUGUCAAAAAAGCUAACUUACUGAUUAAUGAACUCCAAAGAUAAUCUGUGAAAUUGUGUUCAACUAUUGAUCAUUUUCUGACAUUUCCUGCUGCAAAUAAAGGUGUUUGCUCUUUUUUCCACACACAUUUUUCCUCCUCUAUAUAUAAGUACAGAGAAUCUUUCAGUACGUUUACAACAAAUGAAGUCAAAGACUUCACUUCUGGUAGAAAUGACAGAAAGACUCAAAUGUGAUGCCCACAUUACAGUGAAUAUACUUUCAGAAAACUGAGGUCAUUUUUCAUUGUUUGCACAAGUUGGGAUUAAGUCUCUAAAACCAACACACUAUUUCUUCAAACAAAUCACUGUAUACACCUGAUUAAAUCAGAGUACUUUACAUUAGAAGGCAAAUGUGUUUUAGUAAAACCCCA
rnacentral:lncRNA from 1 species